rnacentral:rRNA from 1 species
AGAUUGAACGCUGGCGGCAUGCCUUACACAUGCAAGUCGAACGGCAGCACGGGAGCAAUCCUGGUGGCGAGUGGCGAACGGGUGAGUAAUAUAUCGGAACGUGCCCAGUAAUGGGGGGAUAGCCCGGCGAAAGCCGGAUUAAUACCGCAUACGACCUACGGGUGAAAGCGGGGGAUCGCAAGACCUCGCGUUAUUGGAGCGGCCGAUAUCAGAUUAGCUUGUUGGCGGGGUAAAAGCCCACCAAGGCAACGAUCUGUAGCUGGUCUGAGAGGACGACCAGCCACACUGGGACUGAGACACGGCCCAGACUCCUACGGGAGGCAGCAGUGGGGAAUUUGGACAAUGGGCGCAAGCCUGAUCCAGCCAUGCCGCGUGUGGGAAGAAGGCCUUCGGGUUGUAAACCACUUUUGUCUAGGAAGAAACGGCUCUUACUAAUAUUAGAGCUAAUGACGGUACCCGAAGAAUAAGCACGGCUAACUACGUGCCAGCAGCCGCGUAA